rnacentral:rRNA from 1 species
AGAGUUUGAUCCUGGCUCAGGACUAACGCUGGCGGCGUGCCUAACACAUGCAAGUCGAACGAAGUAGCAAUACUUAGUGGCAGACGGGUGAGUAACACGUAGUCAACCUACCUCAGCGUGGGGGAUAACUAGCCGAAAGGUUAGCUAAUACCGCAUACGAUCGCUAAGUGGCAUCAUUUGGCGAUGAAAGGAGCAAUCCGCGCAGAGACGGGACUGCGUCCCAUUAGUUAGUUGGUGGGGUAACGGCCUACCAAGACUCCGAUGGGUAGCUGGCUUGAGAGAGCGACCAGCCACACUGGAACUGAGACACGGUCCAGACUCCUACGGGAGGCGGCAGUGAGGAAUUUUCCGCAAUGGGGGAAACCCUGACGGAGCGACGCCGCGUGUGGGAAGAAGGCCUUCGGGUCGUAAACCACUGUCGAGGGGGACGAUAUUGACGGUACCCCUGGAGGAAGCCCCGGCUAACUACGUGCCAGCAGCCGCGGUAAUAC